AAAAAAAGUUUAUUCUUUAAUUGUGAUUUUUGUAUCUUUUUUUAUUAGUAUAUUAAGUGGUAAUUGGUAAAAUAUUUAUCAUGUAAAAAGUUUAAUUUAUAAAAAAAAGUUUUAUAUAAAAAUUAGAUUAGUACCUAAGUAUUAAAAUUUAAAAAGUUCAGGAGUAAAGUAAUAUUUAAACUGAAUUAAUUUUGGCAGAUUAGAUAAUUUUUCUUUGGAGGUUGAGACGUAAUCGAGAGCCCUCGUUAUUUGCUUAUUUUAUAGGUGUUUGUAUGAUCGUUUAUAUUAAUUUUUAGAGUUGAUAAUUGUUUUUUUGGCGAAUAAAAAAUAGAUAUAUAUGUAAUAUAUAAAUAAGGUUGUAUUUUGACCUACAAUUAAUUGUUUAUUGGAAAAAAAUAAGUAAUUGUUUUUGGAAAUUGUAAAAGAAAGUAAAGUAAUUUUUAUGUUUGUUUGAAUAUUAUUUUUUCUAUGGUACAAAUCAUCCAUCAAUUGCCUAAA
rnacentral:rRNA from 1 species